rfam:Lottia gigantea unplaced genomic scaffold LOTGIsca_150, whole genome shotgun sequence.
AGUAAAUACUAAGUACUGGUGCCGCGGGAGGUUAUAAUUGAUUACUCCUGCGACUCUUGUGCUUACUAUGUCAA